AUGAGUAUUCUCAGCUGGAACUGCCGGGGCCUGGGGCAGUCCCGGACAGUUCAAGAGUUGGUGUGCCUCGUGCAGACCUACCGCCCCCGGAUCGUCUUCCUAUCUGAAACAAGGCAAUGUGAGGACAAGGUAAAGGCAAUAAAAUGGAGACUAGGGCUGAAGCAUUGUCUUACCCAUGAUGGUAAAGGCAAAGGAGCCAGCAUUGCUUUGUACUGGGAUGAUUCAAUAAAUAUUAAGAUUUUGUUGUAUGGUCCUUGUUAUUUUGAUGUGCCUGUGUCUGAUGACCCCAAUGGCCCUAAGUGGCGGGGAACUUUUGUCUAUGGAGAACCACGUGCACAGGACCGUCACCACAUGUGGUCGCUUCUCAAGCGGAUUCGACCAAAUGCGAGUGAACCUUGGAUGAUGAUUGGCGAUUUUAAUGAAACCAUGUGGCAAGCUGAACAUUUUUCUUGCUCUCGAAGAUCAGAAGGGCAAAUGGCUAGGUUCAGGGAUAUGUUGUACUUUUGCAAUCUUCAUGAUAUUGGAUACAAAGGAAAACCCUGGACUUAUGACAAUAAACAGGGGGGGGGGGCGGAAGAAUGUUAA
rnacentral:rRNA from 1 species